UCCCUGGUGGUCUAGUGGUUAGGACUCAAUGCUUUCAUUGCUGUGAUCCAGGUUCAAUCCCUGGUCUGGAAA
rnacentral:tRNA from 1 species